UGCAGUCAAGUCAAAUUCAGCUCCUGUCCUGCCAUGGUAGGGGCUGGCCCAGAUGACUGCCACACCAAGCUUGCCGCCCAUGGGCCCCAAGUCCCUGGCCUUGGGGCCUGGGGAUAAAUUUGGCUGCAGACACUA